AGAGAAGAGACUGAGGUAAUGAUGAUGAAGGUGAUGACCAUGAUAAUAUUAAUACUUCCAAGACUUCAUUUUCAUUUUGUCUAAAGAACUUUUUCUGGGAAGGGAAUGAAUCUACAUAGUUUGCAAAUUCAGAGAAGUUGCUGUGUCUGUCGUUUUUUGUACAUGCAUUUUAUCGUGGACUCUUACCCAGUUUUAUUAAUUGUGCCAGGAAUUACAGAUACAGGGCUUAUUGACCCAACUGAUUCUUGGUGUACCACUUAGUAGCUUUUGAUAAUGGUUUUGGAUUGCUUAUUAGAUGUUGGAAGUUUGGCACUAAUCUUCACAAUCAAUACUUUCAUUUCUACUUAUUAGAUUGAUUCCUGAAGGUGGUGGUAGCAGCUACCUGUUCCAUAUCAUGAGCCUUUGCUGUGUCUUGUUGUUUGAUUUUACAUCUUAUUGUCUUAUUUUUUUCCCCAGGAGGAGGAAACCUGGUGGCUUUUAGAUGUUGUUGAACUUCCAUCAGCCCUAAUCAGGUUCUCUGGGGGAUGUUUACUUCAACCAGUGAAAACCCAACUGGCAACGGUCACCCAGAAGACCUUUUCAUCAGCCACCCCGAAACUUCGGAAUGACCUGCCAUAAGAGCUAAAUUAGCUGUCAGAAUUUAAGAUACAAGUAAAGAUUUAUCUCUUUCAGCAAGCUAACCCAUGGAAACUAUGGAUUUUAAAUUUACCUUUUAUUAGUAUUGGUAUUUUAAUCUUUGGUAUAUAUUUUUAAUUUAUGUAGUUUACGGUUUAUUUUAUUUAUGUAUUUUAACUAUGUGUGCCCUGCCUUGAACUGUGAGGAGAAGUAAGUGACACAUAAUAUUAUUACACUCUUCCUACUACUA